GAGGCGCGGAGGCCCCGGAGGCGGCGCUGUGCCCGGCGGAGGGCGCGCGCGCGGGUGGAGAGGCCAGGCUGGGCCCGGCCUGGGCCGCGGGCUUCGGGGAUGGCUACGCGGGGCAGGAUGGAGGACGGUUCCUUGGAUCUCACCCAGAGUAUUGAAGAUGACCCCCUUCUGGACACCCACCAUCUCCCACAUCUUUCAUUACAUGCUCAUUUUAGACCCAGAUUCCAUCCUCUUCCUACGGUCAUCAUAGCAAAUCUUCUCUUAUUAGUACAUGUUGUAUUUGUCAUUUUAGCAUUUUUAACAGGUAUACUUUGUUCUUACCCUAAUCCAAUUGAGGACAAGUGCCCAGGAAACUAUACCAACCCACUGAAAGUUCAGACAGUCAUAAUCCUUGGGAAGGUUAUCUUGUGGAUCCUGCAUUUCCUUCUUGAGCGCUACAUCCAGUAUCACCACAACAAAGUGAGAAACCGGGGCUACACCAUGAUCUACCUGUCGACCAGGCACCUGAAAGGACUCGCGCUGCUGAUCCACUCCACCGGCAGCACGGCUCUCCUCCUGGUGCUGAGCGUGCAGCACUCCUUCCCUGCGCCCGCCCGGCUGUAUCUUUACCUCGUCCUGGCCAUCCUGGCCCUGGAACUGCUCUGUUCCCUGACCUGUCUGCUCAUCUACACAGUGAAAAUUCGAAAAUUUAAUAAAGCCAAACCACAGCCGGAUGUACUUGAAGAGGAAAAAAUCUAUGCUUACCCCAGCAAUAUCACCUCGGAGACUGGAUUCAGGACCGUCUCAAGCCUGGAAGACAUCGUCGAAAAGCAGGGAGACGUCAUCGCGCACCUGAAGCGACACAACGCCCUGCUGAGUAAGCGGUUGCUGACGUUCACUUCCUCCGGGGACUCUCCGCCCAGUAGAGCGUGAGGGCCUGGCCAGGCCAGUGGCUGCAGAGGGAGAGGGGCCCACUGAUCACCUGACAAGCCGGCCCAGCAGGUGGCAGUUUGGGCCCGAUGCCACUGGAUGCCACUGACGGUUCUUAUUUGAAACCUGAAUUGUGUUCUCCCUGUGGGGAUGUUGAGCAGGUGGGACUCGUGGGUCACCUGAAAGGUGCUUCACAGAGCCUGGAUGCUCCGAUGCCCAGGGAGGACGUCUCUUUUUGCACAUUUUGAAGUCCUUAACCGUCUGGCUCAUCCGAGGAUCAGAGGUAUGAUUAAGCCUGGUCUCGCGCAGCCCUGCUUCCGCAGGCCGUAGAACCCUGGAAUGACUUGGCUGCUUAUAUGGAGAUUGACAGGAUCAUCUGUUUUAAACAAGGGUUUGAUCAAAUAAGUUCUUUCCGCUCUUAAACUGAUGGGAGGAGUCAUUAUUUUUUGUGGUUAAUUAAUGUUUUCUUUGCCCUGCGGAGCCUCACCGUGUACCCGACCUGCUUGUGUGCUGUGGAUUACAGCUUGGCCCUGUAGCUUUUAUGAAGAAUUUCCUCCCCGUAGGACCCGUCUCACUAGGUGAUUUACUAUGCAAACUCCUACACCUUUUCAUUCUCCACAAAUAAGAGAAUCAAGAUCGCUCAGACCAGGGUCAGACUGACCGAUGCUGCUCGUUGUAUCAGCAGCACCUUCCCCUGGCAACAGAAAUACCCGAGAGAAAACCUGAGAACUUUCCCUUUAUUUUAAUCCUUCUUCAAGGAGUUGCCAUGUGCUUCAGUAUUGACUAUCCCUUGAUUAGAUCAAGAAAGGUAGGUUCAGUGGCUCUAAGCGGGUCUAAAGAGGAAAAAUUAUACUUCCUUAAGUUUCAUUUAUUUAAGUAAUCUCUAUGCCCAAUGUGGGGCUCGAACUUGACCCAGGGAUCAAGAGUCACGUGCCCUUCCAGCCGAGCCAGCCAGCCCUCCCUUGGAUUAUAGUUUCAAAUUAUGAAAAUAAAUUGUCAUAUAAACUUACAUAGAGAUAUUAAUUAUAUCUAAUCCUCCAGGUGGAAUGAAGCAUUUUUGUAAGUAAAGGGCAUCAUUUCCUCAGUUUUCCCAGUCUGCCCCUUUAUCCAUUUGCAUUAGCACCUCUAUUACUGCCCUAGGAAGCUUCAUAGGAGGGGAGGGGACAUUUGUGAUUAUGUAUGUGGGUCAUUAACUGAAUAAUCAAGAUCUCAUCUGAAAACCCUGUGUAGAAAUACACAGGUAUUUCUCAGGGGAUGCAGUCAUUCGGUCACAUCCGGGUCCUUAGGAGGGUGAACACCAGUUACCUUCAGAUCUAGCCAUUGCUGGGACCUUCUACAAGUUGUCUUCUAAGUUCCCCGAUCCCAGGGUGAAGAAAAUGCAAGCACUGGAAGAGGAAGGAGAAUCCAAAGACACCCCAAAGGAAACUGGACUAAGAAAAGCCAUAUGUGUGUCUCCAAUGGUGAACGUGAAUACCUCACAAACAACUGUGGCUUCCCGUUGGUGUGAAUGUUGUGAAGGUUGGUGGCCGAGGACGCAAGCAAAGAUCAGAGGAUUUCUAUUCCAAACCUAUGAUAUUGUCUCCUUAACACUUCUGUUGGCAUUUGUCCUAAGGGUGUGGUGAAACGAGGGUGUUGGAAGGCCAGAGGGAGGCUAGUUGUGUUGGUAGUGCACAUGGAGAAUGCUGUAGACCUGACCUGGAUGGACGUCAGUGGAUUACAAAGUGGAUAUACACGCACCAUGACUGGUUGCCUGUGGAGAGUGAAGGGGUACAAGGAGCCUCCAAGUUCAUGAAAUGGACAUUUGGGUGAUUUGAGCUACCAUCCCAGGAAGAGCAGGUUUGGGGAGAAAUUGAAGUUAAAUACUGGUCACACUGUGCUAUUACAUUGGAUUUCAUUGAGAAAUGCAAGCAGAGAAGUUCCGUAUGCAGUCGGAAAUCCUGACAUUUGUGGGACAGGUCUCAGCUAGAGGUAAUGAGUAGGAAUCUCAUGCAAAAUAAAGCCAUUAGAGUACAGGACAUCCCAAAAGGAUGUUGACAAGGGAAAAGGGAAAGGCACGUGCCCCUUUUAAAUAUUCGGACACUACUCAAUUGCCAAAGGGUCUUGCUUUCCUAUCCCUUAAGCAGAAAAAAAAAAACCAACGCAUCAAACGUGAAUCUAUUCUCGUUCCUUCCCAAAAUGGUAUCAAUACACCGACCCACUCACAGCCUCUCAUAAGCACAGGCGCUGUCUCCGGGUCACUCCUAAGGGAGGCAAAAUCAAGAAGCCAAGUAACUUGGUGGAAAAGGACCUCAGCUCUUUAAGCAGAUGGUUGGGAGUUGGAUCGACCCCGCACAAGCUGGCGGAAUUCAGGGCUGGCGGUAAGGUGGCUAUGCUAUUAAUGCAGUGACAAUUAAGUGAGUCAGUAUAAGCCAGCUGCCUAAAGCCCUGCCUGGGCUUGGAAAGAACACAUGACUUACUAGCUAUCACUAAGUCGAGUGAUAAAAUCUUUCAUCUACGAUAUGCUGGAGAAACUAAAUGCCAUGGUUUUAUCUUGAAAUGCAGAAACCUGGGUUUAUUAUUCGUGACACUGUCUUCAAAAAACUUAUUCUUCCCAUCUCAAAUAUAUCUUCUGGACCAAGAUACCCAAAUAAUUUUUUUUUUUUUUUUUUGGUCUCCUCCUUUCUCAACAAGAAGCCAUUUGUCACUACCUCUUCCACUGCCCUGAGACUAUUUUCAAAUGUUUUCAGUAAUCUGGUGUCCAACAUUGAAAUCGUUUCUGUCUGGACUUUUUUUUCUUAAGAUUUUGUUUUAUUUAUUUGAGAGAGAGAAAGGGAGAGAGUGACAGAGAUGGCAAGAGAGAGCAGGAGCAGGGAGGAGAAGGAGAAGCAGGCUGCCGGCUGAGGGGGGCCGGACUCAGGGCUGGACCCCAGGGCUCUGCGAUCAUGACCUGCGCCCCAGGCAGCCACUUAGGGGACAGCCACCCAGGUGCCCCAGGUGUCUUUUUGAUCUCUUAAGAACUUGAUCUUGCUGCCUGGCCUCAGGAUGCACCUUUCCAGUCUAAGGCUACUCAGAAGUGGGUGGUUGCCAGGUUUCUUUCCUUGACGCUCUAGGUUCCUUGUCCCCAAGCUCCCAGGCCGCAGGGGCUCCUGCUUGGGGCACAGGGCACGGUGUUCCUGGGGACGGAAGCAGAUCCAGAAUUUCCAGUGGGCCCAGCAGGCAACCCGAUGGGCCCCCCAGGCAACCCGACGGGUUCCACCCGUUGUUCUCCCUGUGCCCUGGCCUCCGGAUCUCCUAAAUCCUAGCUAGCACCCUGUUAUGACUUUAUGAGCUCACUGCGCGUGAGGCACACACCAAACCCCGAGUGCAGGGAUCCCGUCUGGAGUCCCCACCCUCAGAGAAGCCACGGCCCAGAGACCCGAGAAGCAGACACCACGCGCUGCACGGCCUGCCUCGGGUCGGCGGCCCAGGCAAGGAGGGCUGUCUUGGCUCGGGUCAUCAGGCCGCCACGCUCGGAGGCCGAGAAAAAUCAAGGCCAUCCACCUCAAGUUUAGCAUUAGCACAAGUACAGCCAUCUUAGGCCCCUGUGACUAAGAGCUGAACUUUACGGGAAAAACUGCAGAAUGUCCUCAAUGUCCUCAGCAGGGAAUCCCAUAUCACAAAGACAACAGAGCCCACCGCCAUGGUAAAAAGUCCCAUAUUAGAAUGGGAACAGAGCUCAAUGCCCUUGAAAGCCCCAUAUCAGAAUGUUAACAGAACUUGAAAAAUUCCUCCACCCCUUCGGAAAAUCCCCUAGACCAGCCUAUAAAAAACCCAGCUAUAACCCACUUCGGGGUCCAAGUCCCUGCGCCGCUGUGGCUGGUACACUUGGACCCAAGCUCGAGCUUGCUAAUAAACCCUCGUGUGCUUGCA